rnacentral:rRNA from 1 species
UGCAGAAUCCCGUGAACCAUCGAGUCUUUGAACGCAAGUUGCGCCCGGAGCUUCGGCCGAGGGCACGCCUGCUUGGGUGUCACGCCUCAGGCGCUCUCAACUCAAUCAGUGGGAGUGGAUAUUGGCUUUCCGUGGCUUUGUGGCUGCGGUGGGCUGAAGGAAUUGGAGUCUGACCGGCCAACGCUUGCUGGCAUGGCAGUGCUGGGUCUGCUACUUAGUGUUGCUCACCAGUGAGUGGCCCUUGGCAAAAACGGGUAACAUCGUCGUGCAUAGUAGCGUUGCAACCGUAUAUAGGCUUUUACAUCAUCACCCGUGGUGAGCGCAAUGCUGUCGGCACACGCGCCACACAACUAGCGACCCCAAGUCAGGCGGGAACACCCGCUGAGUUUAAGCAUAUUAAUAAGCGGAGGAGAAGAAACUUACAAGGAUUCCCCUAGUAACGGCGAGCGAACCGGGAAAUGCCCAGCUUGAAAAUCGGA